AACGGGAAUAAAAACACCGAAGUCCGACACAAAACAUAAUAGGCUCCAAAUCCAGACCCUUUGACUUAGGGUUUAUUCACACACUCAAGUUCUUAUAGGAAAUAAGUUGCUCCACACAUACAUCUUACACCAUGUCCUUGGGGGUUAUCUUCGCCAGCCUUCCCGCAUUGACAUAGUCUCUUGGGCUGUGAGAUGCAAUACCCGGUAUAAUCAACCCAAAGACCCUAUAGAGUAUAGACACAUACCCUUCCUUGAACUCUUUCCCUUGGGUUUUGCCUAUGAAGAGAGCCUUGAGAAGGUCACCCCAAGCAUUCAAGUACAUUGAAGGCACAUACUUGACAUCAAUGUAAUUAAGGUUCGGGACUUCAUCGACCACCUGUCCCUUGUACCAACCAUCAUAAUAGAUGCAAGUUCCGCUAUGCUUGAACGGGGAUAUCACGGUUAUGUCAAAUGGAACGCGAGGAACGAUGUCGUAGCAAUAAACCAUUCUAUGGUAAUUCAGUCUCAUUAGGAUCUCUACAAAGCUUCCGAAGACAGCAUCUCCAACCCUAGGUUGUCCGUAGGUUACCACUCCGUACAAGGAAUUCAAGAUAUGAUUCUGAUUUUGCAUGGCAAGCAAAGCAGGGAAGACGAUAGCAAGGGCACCACCCAAGCUAUGUCCUGUCACAAGUAUCUUUGCAUUUGUGUGUUUCUUUAGCAAAGUGGUGAGUUCAUCUCUUAAGGAGUAGUAUGCCACGAGCUUGUCUGGAUUGAUGUGGAUUUGAUCCGGGAAGCCCUUUGUGUAGUCUUUGUCAUCUUGAAGCCCAAGAGCCUCCAGAAAUCCCAGAUGCAUCUGCCCCAUUUUACCCAUGAAGAUCCGGGAUAGAUCGACAUCGGUAGACCAGUCCAGAGCAUUGAAGGGUUCGGUGCCGCGGAAAGCCAAGACGAUCAAGUCUGCAUCCUCUUCUUUGUUGGUAAAAAUGAAAGCUUGUGUUGUGUUGUCAUUCAGGAAUUUAUUCCAACAAUUAUAAAACCCCACGAAGUGCAUCUUCCAGUCAAUUGUCACUACAGACUUGAUAUAUGCUUCAUUCUCAUAGGCAAUCUUGGCUGCCAAGGCAGAGAGAUCCACAAGAUCAAUGCCGUCAAACUGCUUGAGCUGUGAGUCCAGGGAUGGCAUGAAGUUAAUCAAUGUGUUCCUCUUGUAGAGAGCAGUUCGACCAUCUAUAUGGCCGAUGAUUGAUCUGUAAUUAGCCUUUUCACGGUUUGGAAUCACCACACUACAUGUUAAAAGGCGCAAGAUGAGUCCAAAUAUUCCAUGAUUGAGGGAAAUGAAGUUUAUCAGAAACUCCACGAUCCACCCUAACCAUUUUAAGGGGGUGCUUAUUGCCGAUAAGAAUUUCUGAACGACGAGGACUAGGGCAAUCAAAGGGUCGGGGGUAAUGUCCUCAACACCAAGGGUAGCCUUUCCACUGCUCUCGACGAACUUGUAG
rnacentral:misc_RNA from 1 species